rnacentral:rRNA from 1 species
UGCCAGACUCCUACGGGAGGCAGCAGUAGGGAAUCUUUCACAAUGGGCGAAAGCCUGAUGGAGCAACGCCGCGUGCAGGAUGAAGGCCUUCGGGUUGUAAACUGCUUUUAUAAGCGAGAAAUAUGAUGGUAACUUAUGAAUAAGCAUCGGCUAACUCCGUGCCAGCAGCCGCGGUAAUACGGAGGAUGCGAGCGUUAUCCGGAUUUAUUGGGUUUAAAGGGUGCGUAGGCGGUUUUUUAAGUUAGUGGUUAAACGUCGGGGCUUCACCUUGAUUUGCCAUUAAUACUGUAAGACUCGAGUUCAGACGAGGUAGGCGGAAUAAGUUAAGUAGCGGUGAAAUGCUUAGAUAUAACUUAGAACUCCGAUAGCGAAGGCAGCUUACCAGACUGCGACUGACGCUGAAGCACGAGAGCGUGGGUAGCGAACAGGAUUAGAUACCCUCGUA